UUGGGAUAGCUCAGUUGAUAGAGCACCAGACUCUUAAUCUCAGGGGUGUGGGUUUGAGCCUCACACUGGGCAAAA